AUUGAACGCUGGCGGCAGGCCUAACACAUGCAAGUCGAGCGGAGCGGCGGACGGGUGCGUAAUGCCUAGGUAUCUGCCCGGUAGUGGGGGAUAACGUUCGGUAAUGGGCGCUAUUACCGCAUACUAUUAGAUGAGCCUAGGUCGGAGUAGCUAGAUGGUGGGGUAAAGGCCGACCAAGGCGACGAUCCAUAACUGGUCUGAGAGGAUGAUCAGUCACACUGGAACUGAGACACGGUCCAGACUCCUACGGGAGGCAGCAGUGGGGAAUAUUGGACAAUGGGCGAAAGUCUGAUCCAGCCAUGCCGCGUGUGUGAAGAAGGUCUUCGGAUUGUAAAGCACUUUAAGUUGGGAGGCGUUACCAACAGAAUAAGCACCGGCUAACUUCGUGCCAGCCGCCGCGGUAAUUC
rnacentral:rRNA from 1 species